AACAAACGCUGGCGGCGUGCCUAAUACAUGCAAGUCGAACGGGGAAAGUAGCAAUAUGAGUACUAGUGGCGCACGGGUGAGUAAUGCGUGGAUAAUCUGCCUUCGAGUGGGGGAUAACUAGUCGAAAGAUUAGCUAAUACCGCAUAAGACCACAGGAUCUGAGGAUCUAGGGGUUAAAGGUUUUUCGCUUGAAGAUGAGUCCGCGUGAGAUUAGCUAGUUGGUGAGGUAAUGGCUCACCAAGGCAACGAUCUCUAACUGGUCUGAGAGGAUGAUCAGUCACACUGGAACUGAGACACGGUCCAGACUCCUACGGGAGGCAGCAGUAGGGAAUAUUGCACAAUGGAGGAAACUCUGAUGCAGCGACGCCGCGUGAGUGAUGAAGGCCUUCGGGUCGUAAAGCUCUGUCGCAGGGGAAUAACACAAUGAAUGUACCCUGUAAGAAAGGAUCGGCUAACUUCGUGCCAGCAGCCGCCGUAA
rnacentral:rRNA from 1 species